rnacentral:tRNA from 3 species
GCUGGGAUAGCUCAGGGGUAGAGCAUCCCCUUGGUAAGGGGAAGGUCGUGGGUUCAAUUCCCAUUCCCAGCU